UAUAACGGUCCUAAGGUAGCGAAAUUCCUUGUCGGGUAAGUUCCGACCUGCACGAAUGGCGUAAUGAUGGCCAGGCUGUCUCCACCCGAGACUCAGUGAAAUUGAACUCGCUGUGAAGAUGCAGUGUACCCGCGGCAAGACGGAAAGACCCCGUGAACCUUUACUAUAGCUUGACACUGAACAUUGAGCCUUGAUGUGUAGGAUAGGUGGGAGGCUUUGAAGUGUGGACGCCAGUCUGCAUGGAGCCGACCUUGAAAUACCACCCUUUAAUGUUUGAUGUUCUAACGUUGACCCGUAAUCCGGGUUGCGGACAGUGUCUGGUGGGUAGUUUGACUGGGGCGGUCUCCUCCUAAAGAGUAACGGAGGAGCACGAAGGUUGGCUAAUCCUGGUCGGACAUCAGGAGGUUAGUGCAAUGGCAUAAGCCAGCUUGACUGCGAGCGUGACGGCGCGAGCAGGUGCGAAAGCAGGUCAUAGUGAUCCGGUGGUUCUGAAUGGAAGGGCCAUCGCUCAACGGAUAAAAGGUACUCCGGGGAUAACAGGCUGAUACCGCCCAAGAGUUCAUAUCGACGGCGGUGUUUGGCACCUCGAUGUCGGCUCAUCACAUCCUGGGGCUGAAGUAGGUCCCAAGGGUAUGGCUGUUCGCCAUUUAAAGUGGUACGCGAGCUGGGUUUAGAACGUCGUGAGACAGUUCGGUCCCUAUCUGCCGUGGGCGCUGGAGAACUGAGGGGGGCUGCUCCUAGUACGAGAGGACCGGAGUGGACGCAUCACUGGUGUUCGGGUUGUCAUGCCAAUGGCACUGCCCGGUAGCUAAAUGCGGAAGAGAUAAGUGCUGAAAGCAUCUAAGCACGAAACUUGCCCCGAGAUGAGUUCUCCCUGACUCCUUGAGAGUCCUGAAGGAACGUUGAAGACGACGACGUUGAUAGGCCGGGUGUGUAAGCGCAGCGAUGCGUUGAGCUAACCGGUACUAAUGAACCGUGAGG
rnacentral:rRNA from 1 species